rnacentral:rRNA from 1 species
GAUGAACGCUGGCGGCGUGCCUAAUACAUGCAAGUCGAGCGAACAGACGAGGAGCUUGCUCCUCUGACGUUAGCGGCGGACGGGUGAGUAACACGUGGAUAACCUACCUAUAAGACUGGGAUAACUUCGGGAAACCGGAGCUAAUACCGGAUAAUAUAUUGAACCGCAUGGUUCAAUAGUGAAAGACGGUUUUGCUGUCACUUAUAGAUGGAUCCGCGCCGCAUUAGCUAGUUGGUAAGGUAACGGCUUACCAAGGCGACGAUGCGUAGCCGACCUGAGAGGGUGAUCGGCCACACUGGAACUGAGACACGGUCCAGACUCCUACGGGAGGCAGCAGUAGGGAAUCUUCCGCAAUGGGCGAAAGCCUGACGGAGCAACGCCGCGUGAGUGAUGAAGGUCUUCGGAUCGUAAAACUCUGUUAUUAGGGAAGAACAAAUGUGUAAGUAACUAUGCAGGUCUUGUCGGUACCUAAUCAGAAAGCCACGGCUAACUACGUG